UUAAAGAGACCCGCAGAGGUUGUGUGCGGUGCGGUUGGUUUUGGUACUGAGGGGGCUGCUGUCUGAGUAACAGAAUCGCGGCUGGAAUGGUGAUUCCUUGAGACCCGCCGCAGAAUCCGCUCAUGAGAGAUGGGGGAAAAAACAAACAAAAAAAAAACAACCCAAAAAACUCCUAGGCUACAUUAAAAACAACUCCGCAAAAGUAAAGUCCUCUUGAUUACUUAACUGCAGGCUUCUGGCAUGGGUGCGGUGUGCCAGUUGUUAGCACCGGUGCUCUUCCACUUCAGAGAAAUAGUCCCCCUAGUGUGCCGCUACUGGAGGGAGCACGGCGGGAACAGAUUCAUCAAGAGAGUAUGCCAUCCGGAAGAAUGGUGUAUUCCCAAGAAAGGCUACUUUUGCAGGAGGUUUUCCCCUGGAAAGUACAAUCAACAUGCUGAAUUUGCUUGGAAAUACCCUAAUUAAAUGCAAAAAACAAGAUGAGAACAUUAAAAAAAUAAAAGCCAAACAAAUCCUUAGAGUCAAGUACUGA